rnacentral:rRNA from 1 species
AUUGAACGCUGGCGGCAUGCCUUACACAUGCAAGUCGAACGGUAACAGGUCUUCGGAUGCUGACGAGUGGCGAACGGGUGAGUAAUACAUCGGAACGUGCCCGAGAGUGGGGGAUAACAAGGCGAAAGCUUUGCUAAUACCGCAUACGAUCUCAGGAUGAAAGCAGGGGACCGCAAGGCCUUGCGCUCACGGAGCGGCCGAUGGCAGAUUAGGUAGUUGGUGGGAUAAAAGCUUACCAAGCCGACGAUCUGUAGCUGGUCUGAGAGGACGACCAGCCACACUGGGAGUGAGACACGGCCCAGACUCCUACGGGAGGCAGCAGUGGGGAAUUUUGGACAAUGGGCGCAAGCCUGAUCCAGCCAUGCCGCGUGCAGGAUGAAGGCCUUCGGGUUGUAAACUGCUUUUGUACGGAACGAAAAGACUCUGGUUAAUACAGGGGGCUCAUGACGGUACCGUAAGAAUAAGCACCGGCUAACUACGUGCCAGCAGCCGCCGUAAAAC